rnacentral:rRNA from 1 species
GUCUGCGGCCAUGCCACCCUGAGCAAGCCCGAUCCUGUCUGAUCUCGGAAGCUAAGCAGGGUUGGGCUUGAUUAGUACUUGGAUGGGAGACCACCUAGGAAGAUUAGGUGCUGUAGGCG